rnacentral:rRNA from 1 species
CCUACGGGAGGCUGCAGUAGGGAAUCUUCCACAAUGGACGAAAGUCUGAUGGAGCAACGCCGCGUGAGUGAAGAAGGGUUUCGGCUCGUAAAGCUCUGUUGGUAGUGAAGAAAGAUAGAGGUAGUAACUGGCCUUUAUUUGACGGUAAUUACUUAGAAAGUCACGGCUAACUACGUGCCAGCAGCCGCGGUAAUACGUAGGUGGCAAGCGUUGUCCGGAUUUUUUGGGCGUAAAGCGAGUGCAGGCGGUUCAAUAAGUCUGAUGUGAAAGCCUUCGGCUUAACCGGGGAAUUGCUUCAGAAAGUGUUGAACUUUAGUGCAGAAGAGGAGAGUGGAACUCCAUGUGUAGCGGUGGAAUGCGUAGAUAUAUGGAAGAACACCAGUGGCGAAGGCGGCUCUCUGGUCUGCAACUGACGCUGAGGCUCGAAAGCAUGGGUAGCGAACAGGAUUAGAUACCCGGGUAGUC